rnacentral:tRNA from 1 species
ACUAUGGCGAAGUGGUUAACGCACCAGAUUGUGGCUCUGGCAUGCGUGGGUUCGAUUCCCACUAGU